UACGUAGGGUGCAAGCGUUAAUCGGAAUUACUGGGCGUAAAGCGUGCGCAGGCGGUUAUGCAAGACAGAUGUGAAAUCCCCGGGCUUAACCUGGGAACCGCAUUUGUGACUGCAUAGCUGGAGUACGGCAGAGGGGGAUGGAAUUCCGCGUGUAGCAGUGAAAUGCGAAGAUAUGCGGAGGAACACCGAUGGCGAAGGCAGUCCCCUGGGCCUGUACUGACGCUCAUGCACGAAAGCGUGGGGAGCAAACAGG
rnacentral:rRNA from 1 species